UUACUUAUUUUUCAGGGUAGCGUAGUGAAGGAAAAGCAGGAGACAGUGCGUGCAUAUUUUAUCCACGUCCAUACAAACCUCACCUGUAAAUCACCUGCCAUACAGCGUUCAUUAAGAGGGAAUACCUGAGAGUCACCUGAGUGGUUCUUCUUCACGUGGAAUUUGAUAACACAUCUCCAGAUGGCCGAGAGUUGAGGAAUCUUGAUCUCGGUCUGAAGGGAAAGCUAAAACAUUUACAUCCUUCUGAACCCACACACGGGGAAUCCAAUCUCCCGAGGGCCGCGCCGGGAAGCCUCUUUGGUGUGCUUCAUCCAGUCAAAGAAAACCAUUAAGGUGAAGUGAUCAGAUUUCCCCAGCCAGUGUUCGUGGCAGCCUCAGGAAUGGAAAAGGAAUGGGCGAGGCGUGUGUGUGUCUUUCUGGGAGCGCGAGGAAGAAUGGCUGAGGAAGGAAGUGGGGAAGGAAGAAGGAAGUGUGUGCUUAAGGCGUCUCAGCAACAAGGUCAUAUGGCGCAGCUAGAUAGAGGGAAGAAAAUUAAAGAAGAAAGUGAUUAUGAUUGUAAGGAAACAAAAACGAAGGGAAAAAAGUGCUAUUAUAUAAGGAAAUAUAAGAAAAAUUAUUAUGUAAGGAAAUAUAAGGGAAGAGAAGAAACCGAUUAUUUAAGAAAGGAUAAGAAAAGGCUGUUAGGUAAGGAAAAGAAAGGGGAAGGGAAAAAUGAUUACGUAAGAAGAUAAAAAAUAUUAAACCAAAAAAUAAAAUAGAAAAAGAUUACUAUUUCAGAAAAGAAAAUAUUAUGUAACUAGAAAACUAAUCAUGUAAGAAAAAGAAAAGAACAACAAAGUCAUUACAUAAGAAAACAUAAGAGAAAAAUGGUUAUGUAAGAAAAUGAAAAGAAGUAAAAUAUUAUGUAAGAAAACAUAAAUGAUAGUGACUGUGUUUGCUUGUAAGUUCACAAAGUAUGUAGAUUUAACUUGAGUCAGAUGCCAAGGUAAUUCAAUCACCAACAUAUAAAAUUUUAAAACUACGUACAGUUUUCCUCGAUACAAGAGAAAUAUUGAAUGCACGACGUGAUAGGUAGGCACACAGAAGGUUUGUAAGCAUAUCUACAUGCGUGCAAAUGCGUAAGUCAGUUGAGCCAGAUAACAAAGCCAUGCAAGCACGAGUGUGUAAAAUGCAUAAAGUUUUGUAUAAUAUUCCCUGGACAUGACAAGUGGAAUGGAAAACACACGCACGUACUCGUACAUACAUAAUACACGUAUCACGAAUUUUACAUCGCAGGAAUUUUACAACCGUGAUUAAUAUUUGAAACGCGCAACUCAUUUCCUAUUACAUUAUUUCGGAACGGGAGGAAUACUAAACACAAUUAAAAAGCAAUAGUGAAACGUGAAAAUCCGAGGAGAUUGAAGGAAGAGAAACUAAAAAAAAAAAAAAAAAAAAAACAA